AUUUGGUGGGUUUGAAUGAAAUCCAACCACUAGAACUAUGCAAUACACUAACCAAUCCAUUUCAGAAUGAAUUUCGUAAGAACCUUAAUUGUCCAAUUUCAUGGACCAAUCGACAUCGGAUUGAGUCCGAAACUUGGGGAACAUCAUCAUAUUGUGGGAGUUGUCAUUUGGCGAGUUUUGUAUGAAAUUCAAUUGUCAAA
rnacentral:lncRNA from 1 species